rnacentral:lncRNA from 1 species
GUUCUAGGCCUCUGCCCUGGCGCAGUUCCCUUCCAGAUGGCUCCCUGGCAUUGGGCAUUCAGACAUCUGCUUCCCACUCAGGACCCCAGCCUGGGCAUCAUUGCCCUCUGCCAUUUGUGCGUCAAGGCCUGGCCGCACUCCUAGCUGCUUGGCCAGCAGGAGUGUUCCCGCUGCUCACGGCUGGUGGAGAGGUGCAUUUGUCACAACUGAUGAACCAACUUGGAUGCAUGAACUCAGCGCCAGGCCUCAUUUGAAUCUCACCAGUUUUUCCACUGAUACCCUUUUUCUGUUCCAGAAGCCAAAAAUAUCUUUUUAGGGGCACCUGAGCGGCUCAAUCGGUUGAGCAUCUAACUCUCGGUUUUAACUGAGGUCGUGCUCUCGGGUCCUGGGGUUGAGCCCCACAGUGGCUGGCUUGGUGUGCUCAGCGGGAGUGUGCUUCCCCUCUUCCUCGCCUUCUGCCCCUCCCCUCUCAAAUAAAUAAAAUAAAAUCCC